rfam:Burkholderia vietnamiensis G4 chromosome 1, complete sequence.
CCGCACGCGUCGGGAGAGCGCGUGACCGCAUAGUCGAUACGCCGGUCGCGCCGCCGAAGGGGCACACCCGCAAACUCUCAGGCAAAAGGACCGACCGCGUCGGG